rnacentral:rRNA from 1 species
GACGAACGCUGGCGGCGUGCUUAACACAUGCAAGUCGAACGGAAAGGCCCUGCUUGCAGGGUACUCGAGUGGCGAACGGGUGAGUAACACGUGGGUGAUCUGCCCUGCACUUCGGGAUAAGCCUGGGAAACUGGGUCUAAUACCGGAUAGGAGCCAUUUUUAGUGUGAUGGUUGGAAAGUUUUUUCGGUGUAGGAUGGGCUCGCGGCCUAUCAGCUUGUUGGUGGGGUAAUGGCCUACCAAGGCGGCGACGGGUAGCCGGCCUGAGAGGGUGGACGGCCACAUUGGGGCUGAGAUACGGCCCAGACUCCUACGGGGGGCAGCAGUGGGGAAUAUUGCACCAUGGGCGCAAGCCUGAUGCAGCGACGCCGCGUGGGGGAUGACGGCCUUCGGGUUGUAAACUCCUUUCGCUAGGGACGAAGCUUUUUGUGACGGUACCUAGAUAAGAAGCACCGGCUAACUACGUG